CAUCGAGCCCUGGCGUGGCCCGCCUCGUUGCCCGCAAGCGGGACAUCGGUGUGUGCCGGGGUCCAGAGGAGAAAGACCGUAGAAUUUUGGGGGUUGCGAGGUGUCGUCGUUAGCGCCCCAAAGAGCAAUGAACACUCGGUCAUUAGAAUAUGUACAAUGUGUUCUUUUAUUUUCAUUACCAGUCAUUUCUUGUUUCGUCGUCGUUCGAUAGCGCAACGUACGUAGACAGGUUCGAGUCAAACCACAGCCUAUUACAAACUAGGCAAUUCGGGCCAAACUCACUGCUUAGAAACUCGAGGGCAAACCACAAUACACAGUGAACUAAUGCACUCUGUUAAGUCAUGUUUGAAUGAGAAUUAUCAUGCAGUUAAGUUGCUCAUCAGCCAUGGUACAACUGCUGGAGGAUUGUAUUGUAAAGAAUGGUUGAAAUCAUAUGGGAGGUUCAAGCCAACAGGAUAAUGUUCAAGUAUGCCUGGCACAAUAACAUCGCAGACGCGCGAGGCCAUGACCCGAGGAUCUUUCCUUUGCUAAAAGUCCUGUCAUCUAAUUCCUAUAAAGCUGUACGAAGGGCCGAACAUUUAAUCUGUUUAUGAUGGCCAGUCACAAAGGUAUUUUUAGGCUUCUUCUACGGCGCAUGUGUUGUAAUUCGCAGCGUCUGCUGUUGCAGUAAACCCGUGAGUGGGCGCUCGUGAGAUUAACGCCUACUCGCAGGCGGCAUAAUCAGCUUUGUUCACGUUGAGUGAAACCGAACAAAUGUUGUAAUUUCAGGUAUAGGGCUGUGGCGUAUAUAGGCUUUGAUAAGUGAACUCGGGUGUGUUUCCCACUUCCGUAAUGAGAUGGUACUGUCGAAUACAAAUGCGAGAUACUGGAAAAGUAAUUCAUUUAUAUAUAUUUUUUUAUUUCCUAUAUACCAAGACCCCAUAAGGUUACCUGCCGUGGUGGCGUAGUGGCUUUAGUGCUUCGCUGCCAAGCCCGAGGUCGUAGGAUCAAUUCCCGACCGCGGCGGUCGCAUUUCAGUGCGAAAGCACAACUUGGCUCAUUAGGCGUUCUGCCAGCGUGCGGUCGUACAUUUUACGGUAGCAACGCUAAAAUGUAAGUAUAGUAUUUAUGAGAUCGAUAAAGAAUAUAGAAAUAUGGAAAGUGGUUACGUAGAUAUGUCCAGGUAUAAUAAACCAAGAUAUUUGAAAAGAAAAUUCGGCUUGCGCUUGCCCGUAGGCGGAUUCGAACCCAGGCCCCUCCGUGGAAGCUUUGCAGUGAGAGCCAGAGGCGGUACGUCCACUCGACACCAGUAGGUGUUACUGGAGAGAUGAAGGAGCGCCUAGCGCGUGGCGCGCCUAGCGGUUCGUGACGUCACAGGAGAGGGCUCGCCACUUGCACAUAAAAGGACGCGCGCGUUUGCUUGUCUCCAUUGCGUGUUGCAAAAAUUAGGGAGCCCGGGGCUACUGCGAAUGCACUAAAGGGAACACAAUUUGCGACUACAUGGGGGACAACUUCGGGAAACUACAUUAGGAAACAAAAGGGGAAAAUAAUAAGUUUCCCAAUGCAGCUUCCAACGUGUUCCCUUUACUGCAUUCGCAGUAGCCUCCGGAUGUGUUGCCGACUCCCCAAUUCGUGAUGGGGACGACAUGCAAAAACCUUCGUGUGCAGUGCUAUAUGUUCACGCUAAAGAGACCCAGCUGGUCAAAAAUAAUCCGGAGUCCCCCUUUACGGCGUGCCUCAGAUCAGAUCGUGGUUUUGCAACGUAAAACGCCACAAUUUAAUUUUUAACCCCACAACGAUGGGGGUUCACAGGAAGGGUGGGUCAAUAUACAAGCAUGACUCAAUAUCUUUCCUUAAUAGUACGGGAUUGAUAUGUAUGAUUACUUUCAUAGCAAGAUCGUUCGAGCUUUUGGAAAUAAGUGCGGAAAAGGAAACAAGAUACGCCGCUGUGCGAGCAUCUCGUGCUUGCAUUUCUUGUUUAUCUGUGAGCCAGGUGAAUGUACGAUUACGCGCGAACAGCGCAUGCCUAAAUCUGAUAGAUCGGCAUGCUGCUAGCUCUGUGGCGCGGCGAUGCCGUGGCAUUCAGCCCCGCUGUGUGACUCACGCUGGUGGGCCCGUCCGGAAGGCCUGCCUCCUCGCGCGACGAACACAUGUAGACGCCAAGUCAGAUGACGCCUUCGCAGCGUCCGUGUGUGUCGCGUUAUCGGCUAGGUUAAUCAUCACGCCGGCGCAGCCGUAGAUGCCGAUGUCGAAAGGGAAGUUGUCUCUACGUUGGCAGCGAGCCAGAAGAUCCUUGAGAGCGUAGAGCCUUUAUAGCAGCGCAGACGAUAAGCCAGACAGAUAAGUCUUGGAACGUUUUGUUAUUGCGGACGCGCCUGAACGACUUCGCCUGAACGAAAGUAAUAUACUUUACGUUUCCGGGAGUCGAUCCUUCGUGAACAUACGAGGUAAUCUGACGACUAGAGUCUCAUAAACAGUUGCACCUCAUGAUGGGGAACAGCACCUCUGAAGAAGUGGGAACACCUCCUGCCCCAGCUAUCCCAACGUAUUCAAGGACGCCAGCCCAUUUGGGACAGCGAGUGGUGCGUGGUCCGGCCUGGAAGUGGGACAAUCAGGAUGGAGGCGAUGGUCACGUGGGCACUCUAAUCAUCGUAGAGCAGCCCUGGAGCGAGGAAGAAGAGAACUCGCCCUUUUGCGUUAGGGUCCUCUGGGACAACGGCAAGCUCUGCAAUUACCGGGCAAGUCCGAGCAAAGAAUGCGACCUGCGACUGUUCGACAGUGGACCCGUAGGCAAGCAUGCUUUCUGCACCACUUCA